rnacentral:rRNA from 1 species
AUUGAACGCUAGCGGGAUGCCUUACACAUGCAAGUCGAACGGAGUGGCGAACGGGUGAGUAAUGUCUCGGAACGUGCCCAGUAGUGGGGGAUAACUACGCGAAAGGGUAGCUAAUACCGCAUACUAUUAGAGCGGCCGCUAUCGGAUUAGCUAGUUGGUGGGGUAACGGCCAACCAAGGCGACGAUCCGUAGCUGGUUUGAGAGGACGACCAGCCACACUGGAACUGAGACACGGUCCAGACUCCUACGGGAGGCAGCAGUGGGGAAGUUUGGACAAUGGGGGAAACCCUGAUCCAGCCAUCCCGCGUGUGCGAUGAAGGCCUUCGGGUUGUAAAGCACUUUUGGUAGGAAAGCGGUACCUGCAGAAUAAGCACCGGCUAACUACGUGCCAGCAGCCGCGGUAAUUC